rnacentral:lncRNA from 1 species
AAGUUUAUUCCUUACAAUGAUGAAUUUAUAAUAUUCUAUCAAAACUUAAAUAAAAUGUUAAAGAAUAGAAACAUGUACUUUACACUAUGCUAAAAGAGAAUUACGAUUUGAAUGUUUUGUUUAUUUUUUAAACUUAACUAUAGGAAAAGAACAAAAAAAUCCAGAACAUUAUUGUAGUUUCUUUUAUAGAUAUUUUAACUUCUUCAAAAUUCUCAAUCAAAAUAUAUUUUUAAUGUUAUUCUUUCAUAUUCUUUUAUAUGAUAAUGAAUAUUCUAAAAAUAAUAAUUUAAAUAUUAAAUACAUCUUAUUAAAAGUAUUAAAAUACUGGUAUGAUAGUUACUCUUUUUGACAUCUGAUUUACUAAUAUCUGAACUGACUGAACACCGUACCAUAGGUGUCAACUAAUUCAGUAGCUACU